UGAGCUGUUUCGAGAAGAGUGGGGACUGCUAUAUCGGGGCUUUCGGGCUCUGGUAUGAUGGAAACCAUUUUAAUCGCAAUGGCUUGAACCGGGCAAAAGUCGUAACAAGGUAUCUGUAGGUGAACCUGCAGAUGGAUCAUCGU
rnacentral:rRNA from 1 species